UACGUAGGGUGCAAGCGUUAAUCGGAAUUACUGGGCGUAAAGCGUGCGCAGGCGGUUUUGUAAGUCUGUCGUGAAAGCCCCGGGCUCAACCUGGGAACUGCAUUGGAGACUGCAAGGCUGGAAUCUGGCAGAGGGGGGUAGAAUUCCACGUGUAGCAGUGAAAUGCGUAGAGAUGUGGAGGAACACCGAUGGCGAAGGCAGCCCCCUGGGUCAAGAUUGACGCUCAUGCACGAAAGCGUGGGGAGCAAACAGG
rnacentral:rRNA from 1 species